CUCAUGACACUGGCCAGGAGUUCUUCGGGGGCCUCUUCGUCCCCUCCCCAGCCAGCAAUUGCAGCCAAACACCCCUACCAAGUGGACUUGAAGGCAGAAAAGCGUUACGCUUGGUGCGCCUGUGGCCACAGCAAAAAACAGCCUUUCUGCGACGGAUC